rnacentral:rRNA from 1 species
CAGUCGCCGCGGUAAUACGGAGGGGGCUAGCGUUGUUCGGAAUUACUGGGCGUAAAGCGCACGUAGGCGGCUUGGUAAGUUAGAGGUGAAAGCCCGGAGCUCAACUCCGGAAUUGCCUUUAAGACUGCCGAGCUAGUAGGUGAGAGAGGUAAGUGGAAUUCCGAGUGUAGAGGUGAAAUUCGUAGAUAUUCGGAAGAACACCAGUGGCGAAGGCGGCUUACUGGCUCAUUCUAGUCGCUGAGGCACGAAAGCGUGGGGAGCAGACAGGAUUAGAUACCCCUGUAGUCCCUGUCUCUUAUAC